ensembl:snRNA U6 U6 spliceosomal RNA
GUGCUCACUUUGGCAGCACAUAUACUAAAAUUAAACAAUACAGAGAAUAGUCUGGCUCCUGCACAAGGAUGACAUACAAAUCUAUGAAGCUUUCUGCAUUUUU